rnacentral:pre_miRNA from 1 species
UAUUAAAAAAUCCAUCUAUUUCUACUAUUAAAAAAAUAACAUGGCUGACAUAAUAAUCAAACAGUUACAUGUGUAAUGCCACAUGUACCACCUUCUAAUGUAAAAGGAUCGGUUUUUAAUAGUAGAAAUAUAUGAAAAUUUUAACA